rnacentral:rRNA from 1 species
GACGAACGCUGGCGGCGUGCUUAAUACAUGCAAGUCGAACGGAAAGGCCCUGCUUUUGUGGGGUGCUCGAGUGGCGAACGGGUGAGUAACACGUGAGUAACCUGCCCUUGACUUUGGGAUAACUUCAGGAAACUGGGGCUAAUACCGGAUAGGAGCUCCUGCUGCAUGGUGGGGGUUGGAAAGUUUCGGCGGUUGGGGAUGGACUCGCGGCUUAUCAGCUUGUUGGUGGGGUAGUGGCUUACCAAGGCUUUGACGGGUAGCCGGCCUGAGAGGGUGACCGGCCACAUUGGGACUGAGAUACGGCCCAGACUCCUACGGGAGGCAGCAGUGGGGAAUAUUGCACAAUGGGCGGAAGCCUGAUGCAGCAACGCCGCGUGCGGGAUGACGGCCUUCGGGUUGUAAACCGCUUUCGCCUGUGACGAAGCGUGAGUGACGGUAAUGGGUAAAGAAGCACCGGCUAACUACGUGCCAGCAGCCGCGGUGAUACGUAGGGUGCGAGCGUUGUCCGGAUUUAUUGGGCGUAAAGGGCUCGUAGGUGGUUGAUCGCGUCGGAAGUGUAAUCUUGGGGCUUAACCCUGAGCGUGCUUUCGAUACGGGUUGACUUGAGGAAGGUAGGGGAGAAUGGAAUUCCUGGUGGAGCGGUGGAAUGCGCAGAUAUCAGGAGGAACACCAGUGGCGAAGGCGGUUCUCUGGGCCUUUCCUGACGCUGAGGAGCGAAAGCGUGGGGAGCGAACAGGCUUAGAUACCCUGGUAGUCCACGCUGUAAACGGUGGGUACUAGGUGUGGGGUCCAUUCCACGGGUUCCGUGCCGUAGCUAACGCUUUAAGUACCCCGCCUGGGGAGUACGGCCGCAAGGCUAAAACUCAAAGGAAUUGACGGGGCCCCGCACAAGCGGCGGAGCAUGCGGAUUAAUUCGAUGCAACGCGUAGAACCUUACCUGGGUUUGACAUGGAUCGGGAGUGCUCAGAGAUGGGUGUGCCUCUUUUGGGGUCGGUUCACAGGUGGUGCAUGGCUGUCGUCAGCUCGUGUCGUGAGAUGUUGGGUUAAGUCCCGCAACGAGCGCAACCCUUGUUCACUGUUGCCAGCACGUUAUGGUGGGGACUCAGUGGAGACCGCCGGGGUCAACUCGGAGGAAGGUGGGGAUGACGUCAAGUCAUCAUGCCCCUUAUGUCCAGGGCUUCACGCAUGCUACAAUGGCUGGUACAGAGAGUGGCGAGCCUGUGAGGGUGAGCGAAUCUCGGAAAGCCGGUCUCAGUUCGGAUUGGGGUCUGCAACUCGACCUCAUGAAGUCGGAGUCGCUAGUAAUCGCAGAUCAGCAACGCUGCGGCGAAUACGUUCCCGGG